rnacentral:rRNA from 1 species
UACUAGAGUAGCACUCGCAUAUCAAUAAGCGGAGGAAAAGAAACUAACAAGGAUUCCCCUAGUAACGGCGAGUGAAGCGGGAAGAGCUCAAAUUUGAAAUCUUAAAGGGUUUCCCUUUACGAAUUGUAGUUUAAAGAAGUGUUUUCUGUUGAGGUUUUGGUAAAAGUUCUUUGGAAUAGGACAUCAUAGAGGGUGAGAAUCCCGUAUUUGACCUUUACUUUCAACUUUGUGAUACACUUUCAAAGAGUCGGAUUGUUUGGGAAUGCAGUCCAAAAUGGGUGGUAAAUUUCAUCUAAAGCUAAAUAUUGGCGAGAGACCGAUAGCGAACAAGUACCGUGAGGGAAAGAUGAAAAGAACUUUGAAAAGAGAGUUAAACAGUACGUGAAAUUGUCAAAAGGGAAGCGUUUGACACCAGUGUUGUUUUUCUGAAAAUCAAUUAAAGAACUGUUUAUGCUAAGCUGUUUAGACUUUAUCAGCUAAUCUGUUUAGUUUUGAGCUUUUCUUUAAUGCACUUUUCAGUUAACAAGUCAACAUCAAUUUCUUUUGCUGUAAAAAAGCUUGAGGAAGGUGGCUUGAGAUUCGUCUUAAGUGUUUAUAGCCUCUUGCCUAUGCAGUCGGAGAGAUUGAGGUCUGCAGCGUAGAUCCUUCGGGGCUAAAUGCAUUUGUGCUAAGUUAUAGCAUUUUAUCAGACAACUUGUUGACUAUGAUUUGUCUUGUAGCUUACUCGCUUAUGUUAUUUUACCUACGCUUAGGAUGUUGAACUACUGAGACAUAGA